CUGGGCAGUGCUGCUUUUGGAGUGUGGAGCUCGAUGGGGUUUAAGGAUUGCCUGGGCUCCUCUAAUCAGUGGUGUGAGAUCCAUGCAGCAGGUAAUGGAACAUCAUGAGCCCCAUGUUGGUGCAUUGCUUAUAUGCAGGCUGUUACCAGGUUACCUUGGAGCCUUCACUUCUCCAGGCUGAACAGCCCCAGCUUUCUCCUUUUAUAGGAGAGGUGUUCUGUCCCUCGGUUCACAUGUGUAGCUGUACUGUGGAUGCACUCCCACAGCUCCAUACCUCUCCUGCACUGAGGACUCCUCAUCCAGAUGCAGCACUGCAGGCCUUUUUUCUACUCACCAGGGACUUCACCUGACUGCCACGACUUCUUGAACACCACUGAGUGGCUCGGUGACUGCAGUGGUGAAUUCCCUCAGAACUCUGGAACUCAUCUCAUCAGGACCCAAAGACUCUUGGAUGUUUGGGUCUGCAGGUGGCAGCAGAGCUGCAGUGCUCCUGAAUGCUGUAACGACUGCAUGGAGAGGUGUGGCUCUUCAUGAGAACAGCCAGGAACUGGAAUCUGCAUUUCCUGAAAUGGCCUGGAACCCCACUUUGCUGGCUGGUAAUUGUCUGCCCAGCAGGCGGCAGCAGAGCUGCGGUGCUCCUGAGGACUUUACGGACAGCACGGAGAUGCACGGCUCUUCAUGGCAACAGCCAGGAACCGGAAUCUGCAUUUCCUGAAAUGGCCUGGAACCCCACUUUGCUGGCUGGUAAUUGUCUGCCCAGCAGGUGAAGAUGCCUUCAACACUUCCAGUUGAUGACUUCUCCCCUGAGAGGCCAUUGUCUUUCCAGGCCUCCCACACUCACCGCCAGCUCGGUUCGGUUGAGCCGUUACCCGAAUCCCUGCUCCGUUCCCUUUCCACGAUGUUCCUGUCACUCUGCCACAAGCCCCUACCACCGCCCAGGUCAUCGCAGGCAACGUGUGGGAUGCGACACUCGGUCUCAUUACAGUUCAUCCCAUGGGCCUCAGCCCAGCGAUCCAACCCACCCCCACCCUUCUUGAGGGCCCUUCCGCUCCCAGGCCAAUCAACGCUUCAUUCUGAAGCGAUUUGUUCUCCUUCCUGGCUGCUUGAAGACUCCUGCCCCUUUGUGGCCAUUUUGAGAGUUGCGCUGAUUUCAGCGUGUGCAGUCAACGUAUCUCAAUUAAAUUGGCUUUAGCUUUGCAUUCAAUUAAUGUAAGCCAAAUUGGCUUUAGCUUUGCCUUGCUUACGGGGUUGGGUUAGCUUUGCUUUGUUUGUUCUAGUGCAGGGCUAACCCAACCCCGUAACCAACGCCCGGGGGCCGUUGGAGGCAAUUUGUGUUCCUUCCCGGCCACUCUGAGACUCGCGCCCCUUUGUGGCCAUUUUGAGAAUUGCGCUGAUUUCAGUGCGUGAAAUCAAUUUAUCUCAACCAAAUUGGCUUUGGCUUUGCAUUCAAUUAACGUACACCAAAUUGGCUUCAGCCUUGCAGUCAUUUUGCAUCAACCUAAUUGGCUUUAGCUUUGCAUUCAAAUUAUUUCAACCAAAUUGGCUUUGCAUUCAAUUUACAUUGACCAAAUUGGCUUUAGCUUGGCCUUGCUUACGGGGUUGGGUUAGCUUUGCUUUGUUUGUUCCUAGGCAGGGCUAACCCAACCCCGUAACCAACGCCCGGGGGCCGUUGGAGGCAAUUUGUGUUCCUUCCCGGCCACUCUGAGACUCGCGCCCCUUUGUGGCCAUUUUGAGAACAGGGAUUUCGAUGAAAAUAAGCGAUAUUUUAGGGUUAAAAACAGGGAUUUCUAUGAAAAUAAGCGAUAUUUUAGGGUUGAAAGCAGGGAUUUCAAUGAAAAUAAGCGAUAUUUAAGGUGAAAAACACGGCUUUCCGAGAAAAAUACCAGCCAGCGGGACGCAUGCGCAGUAGCGUGCCUGAGGUGCGCAUGCGCAGUAGGGUGCCUGAGCAGCGCAUGCGCAGUAGGGUGCCUGAGCAGCGCAUGCGCAGUAGGGUGCCUGAGCAGCGCAUGCGCAGUAGGGUGCCUGCGCCGCGCAUGCGCAGUAGGGUGCCAGUCUGCCGCACGCGCAGAACGGUGUCUGCCUGGCGCAUUGCUAGAACAAAGCAAUGUUUAAGGGGAAAGACAGGGAUUUCUAUGAAAAUAAGCGAUAUUUGCAGGGAAAAACAGGGAUUUCGACGAAAAUAAGGGAUAUUUAAGGGGAAAAAAUGGGAUUUCGACGAAAAGUAGCGAUAUUUUACGGUUAAAAGCAGGGAUUCCUAUGAAAAUAAGCGAUAUUUUAGGGUUAAAAACAGGGAUUUCGAUGAAAAUAAGCGAUAUUUUAGGGUUAAAAACAGGGAUUUCGACGAAAAUAAGCGAUAUUUUAGGGUUGACAGCAGGGAUUUCAAUGAAAAUAAGCGAUAUUUAAGGUGAAAAACACGGCUUUCCGAGAAAAAUACCAGCCUGUGCGGCGCAUGCGCAGUAGGGUGCCUGAGCAGCGCAUGCGCAGUAGGGUGCCAGAGCAGCGCAUGCGCAGUAGCGUGCCAGUCUGCCGCACGCGCAGAACGGUGUCUGCCUGGCGCAUUGCUAGAACAAAGCAAUGUUUAAGGGGAAAGACAGGGAUUUCUAUGAAAAUAAUCGAUAUUUGCAGGGAAAAACAAAGAUUUCUAUGAAAAUAAGCGAUAUUUUAGGGUUAAAAACAGGGAUUUCUAUGAAAAUAAGCGAUAUUUUAGGGUUAAAAAGAGGGAUUUCUAUGAAAAUAAGCGAUAUUUUAGGGUUAAAAACAGGGAUUUCUAUGAAUAUAAGCGAUAUUUUAGGGUUAAAAAGAGGAAUUUCGAUGAAAAUAAGCGAUAUUUAAGGGUUAAAAAGAGGGAUUUCGACGAAUAUAAGGGAUAUUUAAGGGGAAAAAAUGGGAUUUCGACGAAAAUAAGCGAUAUUUUAGGGUUAAAAGCAGGGAUUUCUAUGAAAAUAAACGAUAUUUUAGGGUUAAAAACAGGGAUUUCGACGAAAAUAAUCGAUAUUUAAGGGGAAAAAAUGGGAUUUUGACGAAAAUAAGCGAUAUUUUAGGGUUAAAAAUAGGGAUUUCUAUGAAAAUAAGCGAUAUUUUAGGGGUAAAAAGAGGGAUUUCGAUGAAAAUAAGAGAUAUUUAAGGGUUAAAAAGAGGGAUUUCGACGAAAAUAAGGGAUAUUUAAGGGGAAAAAAUGGGAUUUCGACGAAAAUAAGCGAUAUUUUAGGGUUAAAAGCAGGGAUUCCUAUGAAAAUAAGCGAUAUUUUAGGGUUAAAAAGAGGGAUUUCGAUGAAAAUAAGCGAUAUUUUAGGGUUAAAAACAGGGAUUUCAAUGAAAAUAAGCAAUAUUUAAGGGUUAAAAACAGGGAUUUCGACGAAAAUAAGGGAUAUUUAAGGGGAAAAACAGGUAUUUCGACGAAAAUAAGCGAUAUUUUAGGGUUAAAAGCAGGGAUUCCAAUGAAAAUAAGCGAUAUUUUAGGGUUAAAAACAGGGAUUUCGAUGAAAAUAAGCGAUAUUUUAGGGUUAAAAGCAGGGAUUUCUAUGAAAAUAAGCGAUAUUUUAGGGUUAAAAACAGGGAUUUCUAUGAAAAUAAGCGAUAUUUUAGGGUUAAAAACAGGGAUUUCGACGAAAAUAAGGGAUAUUUAAGGGGAAAAAAUGGGAUUUCGACGAAAAUAAGCGAUAUUUUAGGGUUAAAAGCAGAGAUUCCUAUGAAAAUAAGCGAUAUUUUAGGGUUAAAAACGGGGAUUUCGAUGAAAAUAAGCGAUAUUUAAGGGUUAAAAGCAGGGAUUCCUAUGAAAAUAAGCGAUAUUUAAGGGUUAAAAACAGGGAUUUCGACUAAAAUAAGGGAUAUUUAAGGGGAAAAAAUGGGAUUUCGACGAAAAUAAGCGAUAUUUUAGUGUUAAAAAGAGGGAUUUCUAUGAAAAUAAGCGAUAUUUUAGGGUUAAAAAGAGGGAUUUCUAUGAAAAUAAGCGAUAUUUUAGGGUUAAAAAGAGGGAUUUCGACGAAAAUAAGGGAUAUUUAAGGGGAAAAAAUUGGAUUUGGACAAAAAUAAGCGAUAUUUUAGGGUUAAAAAGAGGGAUUUCUAUGAAAAUAAGCGAUAUUUUAGGGUUAAAAACAGGGAUUUUGAUGAAAAUAAGCGAUAUUUAAGGGUUAAAAACAGGGAUUUCGACGAAUAUAAGGGAUAUUUAAGGGGAAAAAAUGGGAUUUCGACGAAAAUAAGGGAUAUUUAAGGGGAAAAAAUGGGAUUUCAAUGAAAAUAAGCGAUAUUUUAGGGUUAAAAACAGGGAUUUCGACGAAUAUAAGCGAUAUUUAAGGGGAAAAAAUGGGAUUUCGACGAAAAUAAGCGAUAUUUUAGGGUUAAAAGCAGGGAUUCCUAUGAAAAUAAGCGAUAUUUUAGGGUUAAAAACAGGGAUUUCUAUGAAAAUAAGCGAUAUUUAAGGGUUAAAAACAGGGAUUUCGACGAAAAUAAGCGAUAUUUAAGGGGGAAAAAUGGGAUUUCGACGAAAAUAAGCGAUAUUUUAGGGUUAAAAAGAGGGAUUUCUAUGAAAAUAAGCGAUAUUUUAGGGUUAAAAAGAGGGAUUUCGAUGAAAAUAAGCGAUAUUUAAGGGUUAAAAACAGGGAUUUCGACGAAAAUAAGGGAUAUUUAAGGGGAAAAAAUGGGAUUUCGACGAAAAUAAGCGAUAUUUUAGGGUUAAAAGCAGGGAUUCCUAUGAAAAUAAGCGAUAUUUUAGGGUUAAAAACAGGGAUUUCGACGAAAAUAAGGGAUAUUUAAGGGUUAAAAACAGGGAUUUCGAUGAAAAUAAGCGAUAUUUUAGGGUUAAAAAGAGGGAUUUCGACGAAAAUAAGCGAUAUUUUAGAGUUAAAAACAGGGAUUUCGACGAAAAUAACUGAUAUUUUAGGGUUAAAAACAGGGAUUUCGACGAAAAUAAGGGAUAUUUAAGGGGAAAAAAUGGGAUUUCGAUGAAAAUAAGCGAUAUUUAAGGGUUAAAAACAGGGAUUUCGAUGAAAAUAAGCGAUAUUUUAGGGUUAAAAAGAGGGAUUCCUAUGAAAAUAAGCGAUAUUUUAGGGUUAAAAAGAGGGAUUUCGAUGAAAAUAAGCGAUAUUUUAGGGUUAAAAACAGGGAUUUCAAUGAAAAUAAGCAAUAUUUAAGGGUUAAAAACAGGGAUUUCGACGAAAAUAAGGGAUAUUUAAGGGGAAAAACAGGUAUUUCGACGAAAAUAAGCGAUAUUUUAGGGUUAAAAGCAGGGAUUCCAAUGAAAAUAAGCGAUAUUUUAGGGUUAAAAACAGGGAUUCCUAUGAAAAUAAGCGAUAUUUUAGGGUUAAAAACAGGGAUUUCUAUGAAAAUAAGCGAUAUUUUAGGGUUAAAAACAGGGAUUUCGACGAAAAUAAGGGAUAUUUAAGGGGAAAAAAUGGGAUUUCGACGAAAAUAAGCGAUAUUUUAGGGUUAAAAGCAGAGAUUCCUAUGAAAAUAAGCGAUAUUUUAGGGUUAAAAACGGGGAUUUCGAUGAAAAUAAGCGAUAUUUAAGGGUUAAAAGCAGGGAUUCCUAUGAAAAUAAGCGAUAUUUAAGGGUUAAAAACAGGGAUUUCGACUAAAAUAAGGGAUAUUUAAGGGGAAAAAAUGGGAUUUCGACGAAAAUAAGCGAUAUUUUAGUGUUAAAAAGAGGGAUUUCUAUGAAAAUAAGCGAUAUUUUAGGGUUAAAAAGAGGGAUUUCUAUGAAAAUAAGCGAUAUUUUAGGGUUAAAAAGAGGGAUUUCGACGAAAAUAAGGGAUAUUUAAGGGGAAAAAAUUGGAUUUGGACAAAAAUAAGCGAUAUUUUAGGGUUAAAAAGAGGGAUUUCUAUGAAAAUAAGCGAUAUUUUAGGGUUAAAAACAGGGAUUUUGAUGAAAAUAAGCGAUAUUUAAGGGUUAAAAACAGGGAUUUCGACGAAUAUAAGGGAUAUUUAAGGGGAAAAAAUGGGAUUUCGACGAAAAUAAGGGAUAUUUAAGGGGAAAAAAUGGGAUUUCAAUGAAAAUAAGCGAUAUUUUAGGGUUAAAAACAGGGAUUUCGACGAAUAUAAGCAAU